rnacentral:lncRNA from 1 species
CCUUGCUUCAAAAAAAGAAAGAGGUCAGGUGUGGUGGCCCACGCCUUUAAUCCCAGCACUUCGGGAGGCUGAGGCAGGUGGAUUACUUGAGGUCAGGAGUUUGAGAUCAGCCUGGCCAACGUGGUAAAACCCUGUUUCUACUAAAGAAAUAUAAAAAUUAGCCAGGUGUGGUGGCACGUGCCUUUAAUCCUAGCCUGGGUGACAAAGCGAGGCAAGACUCCGUCUCAAAAAAAAGAAAUCUGAUAGACUUCACUUGUAAUGGAUAUUUAAUUCUAUAUUUCAUGUUAUCUUUUGUAAGAAUUUAAGAUUAGUCAACACCAAUCCUAUACUCCUCUAGAAAAGUAUCUUUGUAGCUCUACUCAUUAUUUCUUAUCUCUAACCUAAGUUACUUUAUUACAUAUUAAUCUGUUCAUUUGUUCACUUGCUCAUUGAUGUAAUAAAUUAGUAAUCUCAAUUUA